ACAGCGCCCCGCGAGGCGGCGGCGGCCCGCGCGCGGCAGAGAGGCCCGCGGGGGUCCGUCCGGGUCUCGCCUUCUCGAAUCAGCCAUGACAGGAAAUUAGAGGCGGUUUCCCGUAAAGCGGCAUUUAUGGCCGGGCUGCCGUGUGUUGUGCUGGGAGACACGUGGUCCGAUUUUUAAAAAAUCUGAUAAACCCACAGAGCUGGAGCUGUUUCGUGAAAUGUGAAAACCCAUUUAGUCUAAACUGAAUACCUCUGAAUGAAUCGUUCAUCAUCCUGCUCACUCCAGUAUUGCCAGACCAUGGAGGUGGCCCAGAUCAUAUCUGUGAUUAAAGAUUAUUGCACUAGAAA